rnacentral:rRNA from 1 species
CAUGUCCUACGGGACGCAGCAGUGAGGAAUAUUGGUCAAUGGGCUUACGCCUGAACCAGCCAAGUCGCGUGAGGGAAGACUGCCCUAUGGGUUGUAAACCUCUUUUGUCAGGGAGCAACGCCGGCUACGUGUAGCCGGACUGAGAGUACCCUGAGAAAAAGCAUCGGCUAACUCCGUGCCAGCAGCCGCGGUAAUACGGAGGAUGCGAGCGUUAUCCGGAUUUAUUGGGUUUAAAGGGUGCGUAGGCGGACGCUUAAGUCAGCGGUAAAAUUGCGGGGCUCAACCUCGUCGAGCCGUUGAAACUG